CGCUGUUUGCUUGAGAGCUUCCUGCGUUUUCUGCGUCCUUUGAGUGCUUCGCUGUGACAUCUUUGGAAUAUUCCUGCGUGUUGCUCGCUUUUUAUGGGCUUGUUGCCUCGAAGAGCGCCAUGAUCGCCUCCGACUCAGCGACAUUAAGGAUUCAAAAUGAGCUGAGAGACACCCAAGCUGGAAUGCUAAAGGUUCACAUACGCUGUAAGAGUACACAUUGAGAAGGUUAUCCUGGCCCAGCUUACCAUGGCCUGCCAUGGUGGACCAGGAAAGUUUGCAAGGGCCUUGCUUCACCAUGUGUUCACAGAGGAGGAGCUCAUGGGCCAUUUGGGCUUUGGAAAUAACACCAAGGGGCAACAGAGGCUCUUGACCCCAUCAGGGUCAGUGCUGUUAUAGGCUUCACGUGUCGCAAAUUUCCUGGUACCAACAUGCCCUAUGUAAAGAACUCUGGCCUCGCUUCUCUCAUGGGACCCUGCCCCUGAAGCAACUGCCCCUGCCCCUUCACCUCUGAAGAGCCCAAGUUGGACAGCUCAAACCAAAACACAAGUGUUGUGCUUCAGUAACUCUCGACAU